UACGGGGGGAGCAAGCGUUGUUCGGAUUUACUGGGCGUAAAGGGCGCGUAGGCGGCGUAACAAGUCACUUGUGAAAUCUCCGGGCUAAACCUGGAGGGGUUAUGCCAGACUGUCAUUCUAGAGUGCGAGAGAGGGGCGUGGAAUUCCGGGUGUAGUGGUGAAAUGCGUAGAGAUCCGGAGGAACCCCAGAGGCGAAGGCGGCGCCCUGGCUCGCAACUGACGCUCAGACACGACAGCAUGGGGAGCGAACGGG
rnacentral:rRNA from 1 species